AUUGAACGCUGGCGGCAGGCCUAACACAUGCAAGUCGAGCGGAGCGGCGGACGGGGGCGUAAUGCCUAGGAAUCUGCCUGGUCGUGGGGGAUAACGUCAGGAAACGGGCGCGAAUACCACAUACUAUCAGAUGAGCCUAGGUCGGGUUAGCUAGUUGGGGGGGUAAAGGCCUACCAAGGCGACGAUCCGUAACUGGUCUGAGUGGAUGAUCAGUCACACUGGAACUGAGCAACGGGCCAGACUCCUACGGGAGGCAGGAGGGGGGAAUAUUUGACAAUGGGCGAAAGCCUUGUCCAGCCAAGGCGCGUGUGUGAAGAAGGUCUUCGGGGUUUAAAGCACUUUAAGGUGGGAAGCUGUUCCAACAGAAUAAGCACCGGCUAACUUCGGGCCAACAGCCGCGGUAAUAC
rnacentral:rRNA from 1 species